rnacentral:rRNA from 1 species
GAGGGUGCGAGCGUUAAUCGGAAUUACGUGGGCGUAAAGCGCGCGUAGGCGGUUUUGUAAGGUCGGAUGUGAAAUCCCCGGGCUUAACCUGGGAACUGCAUUCGAGACUGCAUAACUAGAGUAUUGGAGAGGGCAGUGGAAUUUCCGGUGUAGCGGUGAAAUGCGUAGAUAUCGGAAGGAACAUCAGUGGCGAAAGCGACUGCCUGGCCAAAUACUGACGCUCAUGUGCGAAAGCGUGGGGAGCAAACAGGAUUAGAUACCCUGGUAGUCCACGCCAUAAACGAUGACAACUAGACGUCGGAAGGAUUUGCCUUUCGGUGUCGCAGCUAACGCGUUAAGUUGUCCGCCUGGGGAGUACGGCCGCAAGGUUG